CUGACUUCAGCUCAGGUCAUGAUCUCAUGGCUCGUGAGUUCGAACCCCCCAUGGGGCUCUGUGCUGACAGCUUGGAGCCUGGAGCCUGCUACAGAUUCUGUGUCUCCCACUCUCUCUGCUCCUCCUCUGCUUGUGCUCUCUCUCUCUCAAAAAUAAAUAAACAUUGAAAAAAUAUAAAAAUCUUUAUAAAAAGAAAAAAUUUACGUUAGCUGUGAAAGCUUAGCAAAAAAUGGGCGAAACCCUCUUGUGCUUUGAAUUAUGGGUAACAAAAUAUCUCUGUCAUGUUUCAUAUGCUUUUGGCCAUUAUUGCCUGGGAACAUCUAGAAAGAAAUGAGCUCAGAAAGAAAUGUGUUAAUAAAGGUACAUUCUAUUACUGGUGAAAAAAAAAUGAAUGUCUUGUUCAGCGGGAAGAAGGUAGGAGAAAAGAUGCGUGAACUUCAAGGUAAGGUGUACAGGUAGAUUUCUACUCAUUUCAAUGAAUAAAUAAGAACUUGGAGAUACACUUUGUAACAAAAAUUUUAUGCAUAGUUAAGAAACGCAAAAAUCAAACCUGGGUCGUGAUUUAAAAUUUGGUUUAUGGCAAUGAUCACAUUAAAAAUUCUACCAACAAAUCAUUCCUCAAGUAUUCUUGUAAAUUGCCACAGAAAAAAAUGAAGCAUGCUUUUGUCACAGACAACUGAUAAGCUCAAGAUAUUUUAGCUGAGAGACAGAAAAAUUAGGCAUAAUGAAUUGGGGGAUGGACUAAUUCCACCUGGAAAUAAAUGGAAUCAGGUUAAUUGGUUUGUAUUUGUGUGUGUUUUCCUUUGUGUUUUUCUUUACUGAAGUCUCUAGGGUCCCUACAAAUAAGGCCAAGCAAGAUAAGGGACAUUUAAGGAUCUGGUGUGGGGACUUCAGCCAGGAAGCAGAAAUUGAUCUAAUGCUCAGUUAAAAGUCUACCCCAAAACAUCUUCCCAGCUGAAUCUUGUUACUGCUCUGUUCCAUUGGGUGCAGUCUUCUUUAUAUAUAAGAGGGUGUUUGCUACAUGGGUCUGUUCCCUAGUCCAACUGGCUCAUAGCAUGGGCUUUUGUUCUUUGAUGCCUUUUUUUUUUUUUUUAAGUUUAUUUGUUUAUUUUGAGAGAGAGAGAAUCCCAAGCAGGCUCUGCACCAUCAGCAUGGAGCCGGCGCAGGGCUUGAACCCAUGAUAAGUGUUGUCGUGACCUGAGUUGGACCCUUAACUGACUGAACCACCCAGGUGCCCCUGUUCUUUGAUAUCUUUUUUUUAAAUUUUUUUAAAUUUUAUUUAUUUAUUUAUUUAUUUUUUUGAGACAGAGACAGAGCAUGAAUGGGAGAGGGUCAGAGAGGGAGACACAGAAUCUGAAGCAGGCUCCAGGCUCUGAGCUGUCAGCACAGAGCUCAACAUGGGGCUCAAACUCACGGACUGUGAGAUCAUGACCUGAGCCGAAGUCAGACGCUUAACCAACUGAGCCACCCAGGCGCCCCUGUUCUUUGAUAUCUUGAUGAAGGAGUUAUAUUGGGAUCUUCUAGUUGCUUUGAGUGUCAGUGGAGGUUUUGGCUUGGAAAAUACUUCAUAUUGUGUCUGGUGGAGAAAGGUAAGAUAAUUUUGUAUACUUUAGGGAUGGAAGCUAAUCUUGACCAACUAAAUGAACCACCAUAUAUUGAAGAAGAAGGGCCACUUAUUUCACAUACACCCUCAUGGCACCAGCCCCGUCAGGUCAUAUCUUCCGAGGGGACUAUACUUCACAAAUUGAUUUUAGUCUUUGCCCUGUGAUUUCUUUCAGCCAGUGAGAUAUGAGCGGCCUAAUGAAGCAGUCUAUACCAUCUCUGAGCAGAAUCCUUCCAUCGUUUUGAGCCAUUCCUCUUUUUCCUCUUUUCUCACUACUAUGAGCCUGUCCUAGAUAAUGAUGAUCCCAUUAACCUGAAUCCCAGAAGGAUGAGAGAUAGAAUUUUGUUGAGCAGCUGUAGCCUGGAGGGUCUCAGCCCUGAGUGGGGUGCCAGGGGCCACCGUCAAACCCUGCUCCUGAUCCUGCUUGUUCCUUGCUGAUCCCCCCCAUCCCCCAGUCCUCCAUGGUUUGGCUGCUGUUGCCUUUGCAGAAGGACCUUAUAGGAUUUCCACUUAUGCCCAGUGAUUUUGGGACUUGAUAAAAUUCAACGUUAUCACUGAAUCCUGCUGUUGUAAAAUCUGAGGCUCCUUGCUGUCUGGGUGCUACAAGAAGAAAUCAAACUCCAGGGACUAUUCCUGCGAUCUGCGCUCAAGGCCGAGCCCCUUUCCCACUUGCACCCUCUGGUGUUUGGCUCGGUCCCUGGAAGAGUGUGCUCAGAUGUGUCCUCCCUGCAGACACCUGCCCAAGCAUAUGCAUGUUCACAAUCUCCGGGGGCACCUCUUCCUGAGUAAGUGACCAUUUCCCUCCACGAGAGGUUCUCACACUGCAUUUUGGUGCAGUGUGACAGCCAGUAAAACUUAGAGGCAAAACGGCUUUCCAGAGAAUGGAAAAUGAAUGCGAUUUGGGGACGGAUGUCCCAGAUGCAAUGCCAGUUAUGUCAUUAACUUAGACUUGUGAUUGUAAAAAUGGCAACUUAUUUGACCAUGGGCUAAGUGUUUUCCAUAAACUCAUCUCAUUUAACCUGUACAACUCUGUCAGAGGUGAGGAGUUUGAGGGAGCAGGUCUAGGUGACGUGCCCAAAGAUACCCAACUGGGAAGGUACAAAGGGGAGCCUGGUCCCUGGGCUUCAGAGCACAAGCUGACAAUCACCCCUUAAUGUUUUAUAACUUGAAGCUUGUUUGAACUUCCAUCUCCCCAUCUCUACAUGUAACCCUUGCACUAGAGGGGGGCCCUAUGUGGGUUUUGAGCGGCAUGAAGUGGAGAAUAGCACGGGGUUCCUAUGAAAGUCUGUGCUUUCUUGAGUUCUGUGCUUUGCAAAUAUUUGCCAUGACUUCUAGGGAAGAGCUGAGUGUUGAGCGCUUGCAAGUUCCUCCUUGCUAGGGACUAUCCAAACCAGUGGAAAAUCUGGGCUUUGAAGUCCAGUGGGUUUUCUUUUACCAUAAAAGCACCUGAGCUCCUUCCUGCUCAACACUCAGUACAGGAGACAGUGACCACCCCACUGUGUCUCUUUCAGUAACAUUGCUUCCUCUUUCCCUACAACCUUGAGUUUCCUCUACCUUCUACAUGAACUGCAUUACUGUGGAGCCUUUGGCCUGAAACCCACACAUGAGACAGGAGCCGUUUCUAGGAUAAAGCCUGCAUUCUUCAGGGAACAUUCAGCCAGUGGGAACAGCUGGGUCCAGGUUUGGCUCCAAGGAGGCACCACACGUAUGUGAGAGACCCACCAUUACCGUCUGGGCGGGUCUGAGGUUGCAUGGCUGUCUUCCCACUGGAGUCAUUUGUUCAUUUCUUGCUCAAUUUCUGCAACCCUUGAGUGCCUUUCAUGCUCCAGACAGGAGAGAGGGCUCAGCAGGAAUAAGAUAAUCUCUGUUCUUGUCCUUGUAGGGCGGAGGGUGAUGCAGAAAAUACAUGCGAAUAAACAUGGAAAUAAGAUGAUUUCAGAAAGGAUGAGCACUAUGAGGCCAUACGUGGGGUGAAGUGAUAGAGAGGAAUGGAUGAACAUAGCCACUAGUCUGUGGGGGUCAGGAAAGGGCGCCCUUCAAGAAGACAGGACCAGAGUGGGUGUCGAAAUGAAGGAGGCAGCACCCACCCAUCUGGGGAAAGGUGUUCCUAGUGGAAGAAAUGACACGAGUGGGCUUGAGAUGCUGGUUGGACAGAAGGAUGGUCAGUGGCUGUGUAGGAGGGGCGUGGGCCUGCACAUGUCUGGACCAGGACACGCAUCACCUCACGGGUCACUGGAGCAUGGAUUUGAAUCUCAGUGUGAUUUAGAGGCAUUGGUGGGCUUUUAGCAUCAUGGCCUGAUGGUCUCAUUUAGGGUCUUAAGCUGUUUCCAUUUGCUGUACAGUUGUAAAGUGGAGAUGGUUCAGGGAAGGAGGGAGUAGGGGUUGACUGCUGGCCUCUGAGGUCCUUUCCAUCCCUAAAUCCAUGCCUGUGAUGGGGCAGGGUGGUACAGGACACAGGACUGGGAAGAGAGUCGGGGUCCUGGAAAGGCAUUGUCGCCUUCAUAAUUUUGCAUGGGUCAGGUCCUAGGUGAAGAGUUGCUGGGCUUGACCUUUGAACCCAGUCAGGGCUCCCCUGGGGCGCCUUUCAGAGUCAAGGUUAACGUUGCCUCUCAGUACCCUCAGGAGUGCAGGUUGAGCAGGGUGGAAGCAGGUGGCCUCAGGGUUAAAUCUGAUUCACAUUCACAUCAGGAGCAAAAUAAUCCACAAUUCUCAAUGUUGUAAUUUUGUCAGGUCUCCUAUUGAGAUGUUGUGUAAUCACUUUAUACAAUGGCAAUAAAACCAGAAGAGAAGCAUCAAAAUUAUUUUAAGAGAAAGGCAAAAUGAAAUACUGGUUUCCUGGAUUAUUUUAGAAGACUUCCUAAAAACAACAAAAACUGUAAUUAUGCUGUUUGCAAAUAGAAUAAAAUGAAGCAAUUAACUUAGUGUCACAUUGAAAUAAUCUACAACUAUAGAACAUUAUCUACGAAGUAUGAACCCCAUGUGGUUUUCAUUUUAGACAUUACAUAAUCACUUAAUAGCAAUAAAACUUAAAUAGUAUUAGAAAAUGAUUUUAGUGGAGAGAAUAAGAACAUUUUGCUGUGGUUCUGGUUCUGUAAUUGUAGGAUCAAUGGAAAAUGGGGUCAACUGGGUGGUGAUUCACUUCUGUUUUCAGGUGGUGUGGACAGCCUUUGGUGCAGAGACAUUUCCUGUGGCUGAUGGAGGAUGGGGAGAAAAUGUGGGGCCAGUGAAGCCCCUUGUUGGAGAAGAUUCCUAGGCUAUUUUUUUUCUGAAUUUCUGGCAUGGGGGAAGACUGGAGAGUCCUAUUCCCCCUGAGCUAUCCGCUUAAGCUUUUCUAAAACAUGUGAAGUCUGACAAGGGACGAAGGGGAAAACCAGAGUCUAGG